rnacentral:sRNA from 1 species
CACAGGAAUGUCGAAGCAAAUGCCAUGGACAUGGGGUCUGUGACAGCAACAGGCACUGCUACUGUGAGGAGGGCUGGGCACCCCCUGACUGCACCACUCAGCUCAAAGCAACCAGCUCCCUGACCACAGGGCUGCUCCUCAGCCUCCUGGUGUUAUUGGUCUUGGUGAUGCUUGGUGCCAGCUACUGGUACCGUGCCCGCCUGCACCAGCGACUCUGCCAGCUCAAGGGACCCACCUGCCAGUACAGGGCAGCCCAAUCAGGUCCCCCUGAACGGCCAGGACCUCCGCAGAGGGCCCUGCUGGCGCGAGGCACUAAGCAGUGACCCCAGGAGGGCACAAGGGCAGUGGUGCUCAGAAUGGCCUUCCGUGGGCCCAGGUCACCAUGUCAGAAGGGCUGCAGGCUAGUGCUCUCAGCUUCCCGGCCCCCCC